rnacentral:hammerhead_ribozyme from 1 species
GCACUGCUGAGGAGUCCCAUACUUGGACGAAACGGCCGUCCAGUGU